CCUGUUAUGCCUCCACAUAGUGAUUUCCAUUCCAACUUUGCUUUGCCAGGCUGUAAAAAGAAAAGUCUCUUUCUUCCCCUUUCUCUCACAUGCCUGCCUGCUGUUGCUAGUCUCCCUUUAACACCUACUGAACCAAGCCAUUAGCUUACCUCCUCCUGUUGGUGCCACCUAGCUUCUGGAUUGCUAGAGCCAGCAGAUCCUGAAGGGAGAGAAAGAAGCACAGACAUUUCAUCUGAUUGUUGGACUGGCUCCCUAUUCCACUGCUGAAGGUGCCAUGGUGGGGUAAAAGAAAAAAAAAGGGGAAGAUGGAAAAAUUAGAGCCUUCCCCAGUUCACAUCUGGUGGGAUCCUAUGGAUGACCUGAGCAACAGUCCAGCCACCAAAAUGGUUUGGACUUUGCAAACUGUUGUCUUUUCACCAAUGUCCUGAAUAAGCCCAUUCUGUCAAGGAAGGACCGAAACAAAGUGGUUAACAUAAGCCAGCUGAAGACGCCUGCUGCUUUUCCUGUAAAUAACGCUGACCUUUUGGAACACUGACAGAAACUGCUGUAAAGCAACAAAAUAAACUCCUUGUUUCUCUCCCUUACGUGCAAAGAUACAUUGGUGAGUGCAUGUAUUUAGGUACACCUCAUGAUAUUAGCCAAACAGCCCGCUUUCAUGCACAGCAAUGCAGGACAGUGCACAGCUUCAGCAGCCAGUCAGUUUGCUGUAGAGACUAAGCUCCGUGGCAAAAAGUGUGAAUGUUUACAGCAUACUUCAAGGAGCCCAGAAACUGCAAGCAGUCAGAAAUCCAAUGACAAUUUAACUACAUAAUCACUACAGUAGCAGAGGAGUAUUUUUGUCCACUGCCUUUUUUUCAUGCAGUGCACUGCUCUUUAUUCAGAGCUGUAAGGAGAGAGAAAGCGUGUGAGCAGGAAAUAGUUUAAAGAACUGUGUACUAAGAAGCCUGAAAAGAUUAAAGAGCUACAGCAGCACUUCCCAACUUGCUCACUUUCUCCAGUUAAACUCAUCCAUUUCACCUCCUGCAACUCAUGAUUAAAAUCACACGGCGUCCUUCAAGCUCCAGAGACAACCAGAAUAUGAGUCAAAGUCCAGAGGUCCCUCCAAUGGCUACCAAUGAAAAGACUGACAUCCUGUUUGGAAGAGGAGACCGAAGAGGCCAUGAUACCAGUGAGGAAAUUACUAAAAAUCAACAGUGCUCAUAAGAUGGUUAGGCUGGGUUUAAACACAUUAGAGCCCACUCUGAUGUGGAUAUGGAAUAGUCAACACUGGUACUGGUUGGGUGAUGGUCAAACUCGACAACAGGAGUUUCUGCAUUUAUAAAAGAAGAUAUUCUAUUGCCACAUGGUCCAUUUAACAUUUUAAAAAAUGGCAAUAUUCCUAAAUUAUGCUAAACAUACUGCAGUGUAAAAACAGACUGAUGCAGAGUCCUCAAUAGAGUCAAUGCACUCCAUUCCAAAACAGUAAAAUAGAGGUGCUAAACAACAGCACAUUUUUAAAUAAAAUGUACACUUUCCACAACGACCAAUGAAAUGUCUAUGUAUUCUUAAAUCUAGUAUCCUUAGAAAAACAAUUUCAAAGGAAGAGCCUAGCUACCUCAGCUAUCAGUGAGAUGUCAGAAAAACUAAAUUAUUAACAGAAGACUGAAAGUGACAACCAAUAUUAUGCAUUAGGCUGUACGAGAGAAGCUGCAAAAAGACCAUGAAGAGCUUUGAAUGUAAGCAACAUAAUCUAUUACUUUUACUGGAAGGCAAUAAAGAAACCGUAGUGGUGAUAAAACAUGUCCACCAGAAGGACACUUGGAUCUUUUCUUUUAGAAUUACAGUUUAACUUUAAUAAUGCCAGUAUUGUUACUGAAAAAGAAAAGAUACUGAAACCAUUUGGGAGAUAGCUGAAGUUGGAAUGACUAAUUCAAAUGUAAGAAUUAGACACUGGAGAAGAGAGGAUUUUGAUUCUCUAGAUCCCAAAAGCUGGCAUGAUGUGGCAAUGGAGAAAUCAAACUAGUAAGUACAUCUGGCUUUUUCCUGCAGAAAGUCCUUGGAACUGAAAGGAUGUAUGAAUCACAAUCACACAUUUAAAGUGGAUUCUCAUGCAGUAUGUGGUCUAGAACAGGAAGAAAGUGCUCACAGCUAUUACACUUAGCUUACAUUUGGUGCAAAUUCAGAAAACCUAAUUUAAGGCAUUUACUUCUCCACUGAAAGCAGCAUUUUUGAAGCGCCAUGCAUCAGACUACUACAAAUGAUAUACAUUAUCUUUACUAACUUCUGUCAACCCAUCCACUUGAUCACACAGAUUCAAACUAGUUCUUUGUAGCUUUUAUAGUUAAAGUUAUGGUCCAAAAAGUGGCUAUGUAAAAAAUACUAAAUGUGCCAUACUUGUUCUCUGUAUAUA